GGGGAGAGAAUACAGGAAAAGUGAAAAUAACUUAACUGUUAAAUUUUAACUUUCAUUAUGAGAUAAUAUUGAAAACAUCUUGCUAUUUUAAACACUUGAACAUUUACACAUUUAAAAUUGUAAUAUUAAUAUAAACCCUUGUUGGGAAGUUGCAAAAUUUGCACAUCAAUAUUUUUUUCUUUGCAUCAAAUACAUAAAAUUCGUCAGUUGCAAAUUGAUACAAUUUUCGGCAUGAUUUAAAUGCUUUUAACACGUUUAGAUAUUGCGAAUUGCAAUUGUAUAACUGUUGUUUAAAUUACAUGCUUCAUUCGAGGGCAAAGUACUAGAUAAAUUACUGUUUCAGAUAAAUGCAUGAAUAUAUAAAUUCAAGAAUAACACUUAAAUCCACUUUCCAAUCUAAAAAAAUAUAUAAAAAGUGUGUAUUCAACAAUAAGCAACAUAACAACAAACAAGCCCGGAGUUUCUGAGCCAAAGAUAAAUGUUUCUCCGAACGUCUCAGAGAAGACGAGAUAAAGUGUGUAAGUUUUCUUCACAAUACAUCAAGGACGUCAUUUUGUAUGGAAGGACGCCAUGUUGGUAAAAUUAUUUUUUUUUUUUUUGUAAAUUACCGUAAUUCGGUAUUGAAUUCAGAUAUAUUGUGAAUGUUUUAGAAAAUUAAGACUUUUUUCCGUAUAAAUGGGGUUUGAAAGAAAAAAGUAAAGAUUCACAGCGAAAAAUUAAAAAAUUCAACAUGGCGUCGCAAUGAUAAAGUGAUGUACUUUCUUUUCUAUGGCUUGUUAUGGCCGUUAGGAAACCCGUUGGCCAACGAAAGAAAACAAAACAGUUAUGUUAUUGUUAGGUUAAUAAACGUAAUAAACCGUUUCUUGAACCCGAGGGCGUUAAAAUAUGAAGUAACUUAUAUUAUCAAAUUAUAAAGUGAAAAAAUGAUUUGCCUAGGCGUCGUUCUGUAAAAUAUUUUCGUGUAGUGUGGAGUUUUAUCUUUGACUUGUAAACAUAUUCUUGCGCAAAUCUUAAAAAUAGUGAUUUUAAAUGGACUAUUUCGUGCGAAAUUUCGUGAAAUAGAGGAAUUUAGCCCUAUUUCGCGCAAAACGAGAAAAAUGGCAAAUUUCGUGAAAUUUCGCGGAAUUUCGCGACGCAUAAACGAUUUAGUGCUACUGGCACUGUCCAAUCAUCGUGCAUCACACCAUGUUACAUGAUAGUCUCGCCACUAAAGAAGAAUUGCCACAAUGAUCGCUGGUCUUGAACUCUACUGUAGUCCAGGAGGUGCGGCCGCGGCGAGCGGCGAGCGGCUCAGGGGGGCGGGCGGCUGGGCCCGCUCAGGUCGCCGUUCACGGGGCUGCUGGGACCCUCGCGGUGCAGCGGGUAGAAGGCCGACCCCAGGCUGGGCUUCAAGGUCACGCAAGGCUUCUUGGGGCAGUACUCCAGCUUGCUCAGGUCCACCAUCGGUCUCCUGCACAGCCACGAGUCCCGGCGCCUCCCUCAACCACCCACGUUUGAGAACAUCAUUAUCUUUCUUAUAAACAUAUCUGCAUACCAAAUAAAUAAAUAAAUAAAUUACACUCCAGCAGGGGCGCAACAACAGGGGGGGCAAGGGUAUUUUGCCCCCCCUCCUAAACCUUGAAGUGGGAGCAAACGGGGGCAAAGAAAGUGCUGUGUAAUCAAUUUUUUAGUGGUGCACCGAUGUGGAUACCGAUGAAUCGUAAUCGGCGAUUAUGGGUACUUACCGAUUAAUCGUAAUCGGCGAUUAUCUUAACGAUUACUUUGCCGAUUAUUUACGUCCCGGCGUAAUUAACUAGGUUUUUACCGUGUAAUAUUUUGUUACAGAUUUUAGGACGAAAUACCGUAAUAUUUGUAUAUAUUACAAAAUUCAUCUAACUCCGUCAUAUCAUAAUUACAUAUAUUUCGUUAAGUUUAAUAAAGCUCAUUGCCUCAAACAAUAAAAAAUACAUUUUUCCUACACGUUUAUUUACGUUUCGUCUUUUGUUUAUUUAGUGGCCUUGUCCAUUACCUAUAGCCAGAGACGUAAAAUAGAUGUCACGCAAUCGAAAUACCACAAACAGUUGCAGUGGAUUCUAUGACAAUCAAUCUUUUCGAGUCGUAGUAGCGGUUCAAAAUCGUGGUCCCGAUACCUUGUAGAGUUUAUCACUGCCUUUUACCAACUCGUUAUGGGCGUCUUUGGUAACAUUAUCCGUUGUUGUGUUAUUUAUAUGUGACGUGAAAAGUGAAAAAGUAUUUAUAAUUUUAUAUAUUCAGUCAACAUAAAUAAAAUAACAUGUGCUAGAAUUGGUUUUUAGUCAUUUUUAUAUAAUUGUAGUGAGAUGGCGAGUAGGGAGAAAAAAAGUGAAGUGUGGAAACAUUUUUCUUUAAACUCAAGUGAACAAAAUAAAGCAGCAUGUUUACAUUGCUAAACGGUAAUUUCUUGAUGCAACCUUAUGUGAUAGUCGAUAAUAAUGUAGGGAUGUGCGAAAGUGACUUUAUCCACACAAAAUGAAAGUGAAAGAAAAUUUAUCAAGUUUCGCGAAAGUGAAACGAAAAUGAAUUUUUUUAUGAGAUAAAUAUAUUCUUAACGAAAGUUAAGCGAAAUUUUUUAAUUAACAAAGAAAAAAAGUGCCCCAAAAUUUGCUCUUCAGUAAUAAAUUCUAUUACAUAAAUCAUUUUUGUACCUUUUGAUGUACAUAUAAAUAUUACUAUUUAAUAUAGUCAACAUCCGCCCUAGACCACACAACACAGCCCCAUGUCACUCGUAAAUUUCAAGAAUCAAUCCAGAUCUUUCAGCGCACAGACUAUUUCCUUUACAGUCGUAAUGUCGCAGUCUAUGAUAAUAUAUUUAUCACGUGCAUGGUACUGAUGAAAAAACACGUGACUACUGCGGAACGGCCGUCAUCUUGCACCACUGUCACACAUGGCUAGCUCAGGAAGCUGUAGACCAGGCAAGGGACAUGGUCAAAACAAAACAUAACAAAUGGUUGCUGCCAAGUGACUUGUUGACCUUUUUGUCUAAUUGGCUGUAUAUUAUGAGGAUUUUAUAUGCCAGUCAGAGUAUGUAAAUUUUAAAUAAAGCAGACGAAAAUGUUUUUGUUUGGCUGUGCGCGAAUAAAAGUAGGUACGUUCUUUGUUUAUGUGUAUACGGUAAAUACUAAAUAGUGUACUAACAGUUCUGGAAUGUAUGUUUUACGAAUAUAGUACCUACACUACUGUUUGAAAGCAAAUGAAUCAGGUAAUUUUUCAAAUAUUGCAUGAUUUUGUUUUGAUACCUAGGCCUACUGUAAUCACGGUUGAAUUUUGUUUACUUUAUCUGCCAUGUUUGUUCAAAUUAUGAUUUUACCGUAUUUUCAUUAACGUGAGUUUUUUUCAUCACCACGUAAAUUAAUCUUAAUGAAAUCUUUUUUCUAAUUAAUGUCUUUAUAUGAUUUGCAUAUGUUAUUACAUUAUUAGUAAUAACAAGCAAAUCAUAUAAAGACAUUACAGUAGAAUCCCAGUGCUAAGUACUUACAGGUACCUCAAGUUUUUGUACUUAGUACUGAAACAUGCAUACAUAUCUUUACAAAGAGAAAAAAAUAUAUAUAAAAAAAUAGCUACAGGAGAGCCGCAAUGCCAUAUGUAUUCGCAACUGCGACUUGCUUUUUUCCCCUUGUCUAGUUCUCUGAGUAUAUCCACUUUUUCCUUAAGCGUGAAUUGCUUUCGUUUCUUUUUAUCUCCAGGAUCAUUCAUAUUGUAGCACAAAUAUAAUGCGGUGUCUAAAUAACGUAACCUGAAAAUAAACUCAACAAUAACAAUAAACAAUCCCAGCACAGACAUCAAACAGUAUUUUUAGCGUAGCGUAACACUUUUGUCUAAAUAAUUAAUACUUCUCUCAAACCUCCGUCUUUCGAUGUAUCGAAUGGUGUUGUGUUGCUCACGUCGCAUACUACGUACGGUAUAAUCUAUGGUUGUGCGCGCAACUGUUUGUUAACUUUGUUUUGAGAAUUUAGAGGUUAGAAAAUACGUUGCGGUGGUAUUUGUGUAUCUUUGUUAUACUACAUUAAUCAUUUAGCUGGAAAUUUAUUUACCAGUUUAAGUAAAUUUUGGUGUAGUAAUGCCACGCUACUAGUAGAAUUUUUACGUUAUAGUGAAAAUAUGAUACUUUAAACUGAAACCGUUUUGCAUGGCGAAGAUACGAUUUUUGGCGGGCACUUAAAAAAAAUUCGUUAAGUGAAAUAUACUUUAUAAUAAGGUACGUUAUUGUACCGGUAUUCUACUGUACAUUUUUAUUAAAUUACGAUUUCUUUUUCAACUAGAACAAACAAACUUCGGUAAGCUAUUGAACUUUCGUUUGGCUCGAAAUAUUUCGCUAAAAACGAACUUCGACAGAUGAAAUUCUUACCGAAAUCGAAAAUGAAAGUAGCAAAAUUUCGAUUUCGGUAUCGGUAUACCGAACAUUCGCACAACCCUAUAAUAAUGCUAGUUUUCCGCAACAAAAACUUACCCAUUGUAAAUUACAAUUAUUAGACUGUAGUUCAAGUUGUUUACAAUAACAAAUAUUUAAAUAGAAGUUAAUUUAAUUUACACUUUGCAAUGACUUAAUCGUGUAUUUUAUAUAUUUUUAUACUGUUAUUAUAACUGUGUUCUCAAUUUUACCUAAUCUUGUUAUUAAAUUCACAUGGGAAUAAAAAUUUUUGUGUGCAUUAUUACACUUAAAAAAAAAUUUCUUCAUUAUAAUCGGUAACUGAAUCGGUAUCUGCCGAUUAUUGCUCUCAUAAUCGGUAAUCGAAUCAGUAAUCGGUAAAGUCGUAUCGGUGCACCACUACAAUUUUUAUAUAAUAAAACUGCUUAAAUAGCACCAUUUUCCACCUUGAAAUACAAAUGUUCCCGGGGGAGGACUCGAGGACCCCGAGGACCCCCGGACCUCCCCCCCCCCCCCCCCGCUUCAAUAGGAGGGAUUGAUGAUUCUUUAUAAAAAAAGGUAUAUUGCCCCCCCCUUUGGAAAUUUAGUUGUUACGCUCCUGAUCUCCAGUAUUUAAUAGGUAAACAUCUGUAGUUGAAAUAAUACAAUAACGAUACAAUAAUUAUUAAAACUAUGACAAGAGUAUUAAAAAAAAUCAAAGUUAAGGUUAUAUUUUUUUUCAAUAUCUCCGAAAACUUUUUUUUCCUACAUGUUUAGAGUUGGGAAUGGUGAUACUUUGGCCUUUAAUGCACACAUAUCCCAAUUUUGUAAUUCAAAGUCACUAGAAAGGUACUACUUAGAAUUGGGUAAUUUCGGAAAAUGUAGUUUGCCGUCAAUUGUAUGACUCACCACAAAAUAUGUGCUUGUUAAUAUACCUAAGAAUCUGUGGUUCAAGGUUAGCAAGGCUAGCAGGAUAGAAGUUCUACCGAACACACCUCGUGUCCUCCACAAACUUGAGGUUGACCUUCUCGCAGCCGUCUGGGGGUUCCCGCGCCAGGAACUUGUUGAUGUGAGGUGACGUCCCCAGCUUGCCGGCUUCCUGCUCGGGGGACGAGUCCCUGCUGCCUUCUGGAACAACACCUACACGUCAGCUCCCCCGGGACGCGGCCAGACGCGGCACACCACCGGGUUAACCACCCAACACCAGUUACAGCUCCGACAUCUCAUCCACAUCGAGGUCCUUAGAGAUGGUGAGGGAUGGCGGGAUGAGAAUGGAGUACUGACGGAAUAAAUGGGUGGGGGAACGGGCAGCAUGGGCGCACCGCCAGCCUACUAAGAACCACUGGCCUAUAAUCUCAAAAAGUACCUUAUAGCUAGACUUGAAAAAUUUUUGGUAGCAAUAAACUCAAAAAUAACAUGACUUUUAAUGCUUUGAAGUUAAAACAUGAUUUUCUAUUUUUUUUUUCCCCAUCUUUUAUACAAAUUACUACAAAAUAUAGGCUCUCAUCUUACGAAUGUUAUAUUUUCAAGACUUUAUCAUGUAAAAUAUCUCAAAAAUGGAGGUUUGUACAGAAAAAAUGCAUAGAAAAAAAAUUAUUGCAAAAUUUUAUUAUGAACAAAAAAAUGUUACCACUAAAUUUUUUUUCUUAUCUUUAACCAUUUUGAUUUUAUUGGCGAAUCUCUCCCCAUAUUCCCUGCUGUGCGGCUGUUAUGUACUUCUUCCGCCGUAAUUCGACGCUCUUCUAACUGCUGUCAGCUACAAAAGAGCUUAAAACUACAUGCUCUGCCUGCAAAUUGUGUCACUUAAGGGGCCCGCCUCGUCAAGGGUGUAAGUGUGUUAGUGAGGCGGGAUGAUAUGCGCGACGAUCGUUGGUGCUUCUAGCGCGGUGUCGCCUCUAAGCGCAAGGCUCCGAACUGCCACGCAGUUGUCUUGGCGUCACAGAAUAACUGUGAAAUUUGAGCGGUGACCGUAACAUUAAAUGGCCGAGAAAUUAUGAUAAAGGCGUAAUACAAGUCCCUUAUAAGUGCUUUCAAGAAUCUGUACUGGUUGUUUUACGCCUAAAAAUCGCUCUGAAAACAUGCGUUUUAGACAUUUUAACUCUUCUGAAACUACAGUUUAAAAACUUAAUCCGAAAUCAAACGUACUUUUCGGCCCUCAGUGAACUCUAAAAUGCUUUUCGUAAGCAGACCCCACUCGGAUGUGUUGAGUAGUUUUCAAAUCGCAUUGUUUUUCCUGAAGCUCUGCGCACCGUGUGCGUGUGCCCGGGCAGGCGGGGCCCUUGAGUGACAUCUGACUGGCUGAGCGGGGGCGCUACGCACCCUGCGGGUCGCUGGGGGGCCGGGAGACCCCGGCGGCGGCGGGUGGCGGCGGGGACCCGGACUCCCGGGAGGACGGGCCGGAGCAGGCCAGCUCCCCCGGGCGGGCGGGAGUCUGGGUGUUCACGGAGCGCGUGGAGGAGCGCAGCAGGUCCGCCAGGGGCGCGCGGUGGCCCUCCGGGGUCGGCUGCCCGCCCCCGAACUGCUGCGCAUCGCGACACUGCGCCCGUCAGCGGGGGAGCACGCACGCUCAGCGCCGCGCGUGCAACAUUACGUGGCGAACAGCGACACAACCAGGAUAACAAUACACCGCGAAAAACCCAGAACUCCAAAACCGCUUAACUCAGAACCACAUAACUCCGAAAUGCAAAAUUAAGAUAAAUUUACCUUGAUCACCUCAUUUUAUCUAUUAAAAUAUAGGCUAAAGUUCAUUUUUUUCUUUAGUAUAUGCUUUUCACUGCAUAUUGAAUUUUUUUUUUUAUUCACGUUAACCAGGUUAGCAAAAAGUAAAAUUAUAAAUUUGAAAAAUACGUUAGCACUGGAAACAUAAACAACACAUUGACCAAAUAUUUUUUUUUUUUCCAUUACUUUAAACGUUAUGUAGUAGGUUUAGUGGAUCCAACAACACCAUUCUUGUUUCGCUAUCUGAGUUAUUAUAUACAUAUUAUUGCACAAUACAUUAAAAAUUUAAUGUGGCAACAAUAAAACAUGUCAAAUUAUAAUACCAUAAAAUCUUAACUAAGACAUUGCAUAAAAUAUAUUUUUUUUAUUUAUAUCUUUUUCAUGACCCAAAGAACAUUACAACAGAAUACUGAAAUUUUUUAGUUGCAGUUUUUUGUUUAACUUACUCUCACCAAUAUUACACGAAUAAUUGUUUUAUGUACAUAUUUUAAGUUAGGUACAUAUGUGAAGCAGUUUAUAUGUUUGGUAUGUACAUAUUACAUAAGUUUCAAAUUUUUGAUCAUGAUAAAGAAGAAAUCUGAUAGUGUGUUUUUUAUAACACCAUAAAAUCUUGGCUCUUUCAAUCAUGGAAUGAAUGAAGGAAUAAAUCAAGGAAUGAAUCAAUUAAUGUAAGACAAUGAUUAAAUGAUUCAUGAAUAAAUAAAUAAUUGUAUCAUUGAAUUAAUCAAUGAAUAAAUGAGCUGAACGUCCCAUCAAAUAUGCGAUCAACAGUGAAAAUGAGGGAAAAUGAAAUGAUAAUGAAGCACUGCUCACAGCAACACAUGCCGGAAAUUCCCGGUUCGCAGUUGAGAGAUAUGCGUUCUGAACUACUUGUUAAAAAUAAAACCCCAUUCUCAAUGUGUAAGUGUGCUGAAUUAACAAGAGGAAAGUUAAUGCUUUCCCAGUAAAUACAAUUUGUCCAGCCCUGAAUUGCUGGCCAAAGUUUCUGUGCUUAAUAGAAUUAUCCUGUACUCAUUUUUGUUACCAUUGUUUUACCCAUACUACAUUUAAAAAAAAAAUACACACACAUACACGCACGCGUGCGUGCACAUGCACAAUAAUAAUAAUAAAUUGUAACUUGGUAUUAAGAACUGUAAGGGUUUCUGAAUUGUUGUCAGUUCCUCAAACACUGGUUCAUGACCAUAACGGUAAUUCCAUGGCUUCUCGUCACCACAACACCCUGACCAUACCCCAGUCUGUCUUUUUACCAACAUCACUGUUGGUAAAUCUGAUCUAGUAGCAUUCACCGUUCAUAAUUAUUAAUCAAACUCUUUCCUUUCAUCUUCAAGAUCUACUCUGGUUGGCAGACUAAUAAUUUGAGUUCCCGGCUGAUCAUUUGAAACCAACCUACAAGAUUUAGCUUCCAGGCCAGGUUAUGUGGUGUCCUGGUCCGCUCAUACACCAAUAGAUAGUAUUGCCGCUGGCAUUUUUCAUAGUAUCAUUGCGAGAAACACGUGUUACCCAACAUGUACACGAUUGUGUUAGUAAAACCCGUCUUACCUUCACCCGCGGGGUAAUCUGUUCGUGCACCCACGUGUUAUGCCUAUACAAGGACCCGGGCAUGUGGGACCGCCUCGGGAGCCCACUAAGGGACUAGCACACAACAUCUUAACAGCAUGUCCGCUCAGGGUGGUCCAGGUCAGUGGGGUUUGAGGACGGGGUAGAAGGGCGUUCGAGUCUCAGCCACACACGAGCGACGUCCCUGCCGGGUCCGUACGCCCGGCAAACAUACGGUGGGCGCCCGGUUACUUUCCAUCAACGUGUACAAUCAGAACGCGAAAGGCCCUACAACAUCGAUGUCAACAGAAAUCAGACGUGGGGUUACUAAAAACCACACAAAUUUUGGGAUUAAAAAUAAAAAACCAGUUUCAAGACAUCAUCAUACUACACAAUAUGAAGAACUUCUCGAUGCUGUUUCGUACUAAUGUUUGAUCCAUUUCACCUAAGCCUUCCAGGGUAUUUCAGGAACACCUCUCCAGGUAUUCCCAGAGUGUUCCCCGUGUUCCGCUGUGACUUUGGUCACGUGGGCGAGACACGAGACACGGCGGUGCGGCCGGGCAGAUACCUUGCUGUCCGUGCGCUCCGCCUCGCUCAGGACCAGCCGCUCUAUCUCCUGGUUGAGCGCCUCCACCGAGCUCCUCAUGGGCCGCGACGCGCUGCCUUUCGACGGCGUGGACGCUGCUUUGGGCUGCGACGCUGCAACCACACGGCAUCAGUGCCCGGCUGGACUCCCACACCUGUGCGUCUAGCCGUCUGUGUUUCAAAAGCGGUGGGUCGAAAAGCAAAGAAGUGUUCACCUGGGAGGGAGAAAGAGGAGGGUAAGACAAGCAGAAGGAAGUGGAAGGAACCCUGGACUGCACCCUCCCCCUCAUCACUACAUCUCAUCUGUCGUCAUGUGCAGAGGUUCAGGAAUAAGUAACGUAGCUAAGAGGCAGUGUGUGUAGUUAUUCAACUAAGAUGUUCCCCACGGCAAGACACAAGUUUCAGAUUGCAGUAAAUCUCUGUUAAGAAGUGUCUCAAGGUGUUUACUAAUAUGUAUAUACUUAUUAAGAGAAAUUUUAUUAAAUGAGUAAAUUUUAUUGUA